GAGCGCAGCAGCCACCGGCCUCCCGUCAUCGACUGAAAUCCGAGCGACGAGCGGGGGCUGGGGCUCGGGAAGGACAUGUGGUCCCGGAACCGGCGCUUCGGGUCGGGGUGUGAGCGCUCGGACCCCCCUUCAGCUCGGCCUCCCGCAGGUCAGGGACCCGCCCUGGCGCCUCCCUCUGCCACCUGCUCGGCCAGGACCUUUGGUCAGCACAGCGGCCGGCCGUGUUCCCGCCGCCGCUGAGGGACUGAGUGCGGGAGAGGCUGCGUCCAGAGCAGGAGGGACUCGCCCGAGGCCUGGAGAAGCUCCCGCCGCCGUGGGGUUUCCGCGACCGGAGCACCUGGGAGCCCGGCGGUGCUCAUCUUGGGAAGAGGUUUAUUCACACCCGGAGCUACCUGGGAUCCUUUAUUUCUAAACGCCUUUGAGUUAUUUCCCAUCAGCAGCAGUGACGUGGGUUCGAAUUAGCUGCUAAGGAGCCGGGCCUCGGGCGGCCUUCCCGUGUCCCCAGCUCGGCCUUCCCGUGUCCCCGGCGCAGUCUCCGCGUGACUCAGGCUCCCUGCUCUCCAAAGGGCAAGCCACUUCCCAUUCUGCUUCGAUCGCUGCUGCUCUCAUCACUGGACGUUAUGGGACAGUCCGGCCGGGCGAGGACCAGGCCACCUGAGAAGCCAGGAGCCUCGGCCAAGCCUGGCAGACAGCACCCGGGACCACGUGAGGUCCAGGGCGAGGAGACGAAAGAUGGGGCUGCCAAGGUUUUACUUAAUCCGCCAGGCCUGUGACUAGAGAGCACCAUUCCUC